rnacentral:rRNA from 1 species
UGGGGAAUCUUGCACAAUGGGCGAAAGCCUGAUGCAGCAACGCCGCGUGCGGGAAGACAGCCCUAGGGUUGUAAACCGCUUUCAGCAGGGAAGAAACUGACGGUACCUGCAGAAGAAGAUGCGGCCAACUACGUGCCAGCAGCCGCGGUGACACGUAGGCAUCAAGCGUUAUCCGGAUUUAUUGGGCGUAAAGAGCUCGUAGGCGGUUCGGUAAGUCGGGUGUGAAAACUCUGGGCUCAACCCAGAGAGGCCACUCGAUACUGCUGUGACUAGAGUGCGGUAGGGGAGCGGGGAAUUCCUGGUGUAGCGGUGAAAUGCGCAGAUAUCAGGAGGAACACCAGUGGCGAAGGCGCCGCUCUGGGCCGUAACUGACGCUGAGGAGCGAAAGCAUGGGUAGCAAACAGGAUUAGAUACCCUGGUAGUCCAUGCCGUAAACGUUGGGCACUAGGUGUGGGUCUCAACCGAACGAGAUCCGCGCCGUCGCUAACGCAUUAA